rnacentral:rRNA from 1 species
UACGUAGGGGGGCAAGCGUUGUCCGGAUUUAUUGGGCGUAAAGAGCGUGUAGGCGGCCAGGUAGGUCUGCUGUGAAAACUCGAGGCUUAACCUCGAGCUGUCGGCGGAAACCAUCUGGCUAGAGUCCGGAAAGAGGAGAAUGGAAUUCCCGGUGUGAGCGGUGAAAUGCGCAGAUAUCGGGAAGAACACCCGUGGCGAAGGCGGUUCUCUGGGACGGUACUGACGCUGAGACGCGAAAGCGUGGGGAGCGAACAGG